CUCUUGGCACUAGGAUAAAUUUCCCACAAGAUGGCUCUUGCAGUAACAAAUAUCCCAUUUGGCGUUUCACUUCUAAAUUCGGAAUGGAGUUAGGUGUUUCAACCAAAUCAAGCACCAAAAU
rnacentral:rRNA from 1 species